GCCUCUAUAGCCUAAUUAAGACACCAGCCUCCUAAGCCGGGGAUUGCGAUUUCGAGUCUCGCAAGAGGUA
rnacentral:tRNA from 1 species